rnacentral:rRNA from 1 species
AGCGCAGGUGGUCUGUUAAGUCUGAUGUGAAAGCCCACGGCUCAACCGUGGAACUGCAUUGGAAACUGGCAGACUUGAGUGCAGAAGAGGAAAGUGGAAUUCCAUGUGUAGCGGUGAAAUGCGUAGAUAUAUGGAGGAACACCAGUGGCGAAGGCGACUUUCUGGUCUGUAACUGACACUGAGGCUCGAAAGGCGUGGGAGCAAACA